UACGUAGGGGGCUAGCGUUGUCCGGAUUUAUUGGGCGUAAAGAGCGUGCAGGCGGCCAGAUAGGUCUGCUGUGAAAACUCGAGGCUCAACCUCGAGACGCCGAUGGAAACCAUCUGGCUAGAGUCCGGAAGAGGAGAGUGGAAUUCCCGGUGUAGCGGUGAAAUGCGCAGAUAUCGGGAAGAACACCUAUGGCGAAGGCAGCUCUCUGGGACGGUACUGACGCUGAGACGCGAAAGCGUGGGGAGCGAACAGG
rnacentral:rRNA from 1 species